rnacentral:rRNA from 1 species
AGUGAACGCUGGCGGUAGGCCUAACACAUGCAAGUCGAACGGCAGCACAGUAAGAGCUUGCUCUUACGGGUGGCGAGUGGCGGACGGGUGAGGAAUACAUCGGAAUCUACUUUUUCGUGGGGGAUAACGUAGGGAAACUUACGCUAAUACCGCAUACGACCUACGGGUGAAAGCAGGGGAUCUUCGGACCUUGCGCGAUUGAAUGAGCCGAUGUCGGAUUAGCUAGUUGGCGGGGUAAAGGCCCACCAAGGCGACGAUCCGUAGCUGGUCUGAGAGGAUGUUCAGCCACACUGGAACUGAGACACGGUCCAGACUCCUACGGGAGGCAGCGGUGGGGAAUAUUGGACAAUGGGCGCAAGCCUGAUCCAGCCAUACCGCGUGGGUGAAGAAGGCCUUCGGGUUGUAAAGCCCUUUUGUUGGGAAAGAAAAGCAGCAGGUUAAUACCCCGCUGUUCUGACGGUACCCAAAGAAUAAGCACCGGCUAACUUCGUG